GAUGAACGCUGACAGAAUGCUUAACACAUGCAAGUCAACUUGAAUUUGGGUUUUUAACUUAGAUUUGGGUGGCGGACGGGUGAGUAACGCGUAAAGAACUUGCCUCACAGCUAGGGACAACAUUUAGAAAUGAAUGCUAAUACCUGAUAUUAUGAUUUUAAGACAUCUUAGAAUUAUGAAAGCUAUAAGCACUGUGAGAGAGCUUUGCGUCCCAUUAGCUAGUUGGAGAGGUAACAGCUCACCAAGGCGAUGAUGGGUAGCCGGCCUGAGAGGGUGAACGGCCACAAGGGGACUGAGACACGGCCCUUACUCCUACGGGAGGCAGCAGUGGGGAAUAUUGGACAAUGGACCGAGAGUCUGAUCCAGCAAUUCUGUGUGCACGAUGAAGUUUUUCGGAAUGUAAAGUGCUUUCAGUUGGGAAGAAACAAAUGACGGUACCAACAGAAGAAGUGACGGCUAAAUACGUGCCAGCAGCCGCGGUAAUACGUAUGUCACGAGCGUUAUCCGGAUUUAUUGGGCGUAAAGCGCGUCUAGGUGGUUAUGUAAGUCUGAUGUGAAAAUGCAGGGCUCAACUCUGUAUUGCGUUGGAAACUGUAUAACUAGAGUACUGGAGAGGUAAGCGGAACUACAAGUGUAGAGGUGAAAUUCGUAGAUAUUUGUAGGAAUGCCGAUGGGGAAGCCAGCUUACUGGACAGAUACUGACGCUAAAGCGCGAAAGCGUGGGUAGCAAACAGG
rnacentral:rRNA from 1 species